rnacentral:rRNA from 1 species
CAGUAGCCACGGUAAUACGGAGGGUGCAAGCGUUACUCGGAAUCACUGGGCGUAAAGGACGCGUAGGCGGAUUAUCAAGUCUCUUGUGAAAUCUAACGGCUUAACCGUUAAACUGCUUGGGAAACUGAUAAUCUAGAGUAAGGGAGAGGCAGAUGGAAUUCUUGGUGUAGGGGUAAAAUCCGUAGAUAUCAAGAAGAAUACCUAUUGCGAAGGCGAUCUGCUGGAACUUAACUGACGCUAAUGCGUGAAAGCGUGGGGAGCAAACAGGAUUAGAUACCCCCGUAGUCCCUGUCUCUUAUAC